rnacentral:misc_RNA from 1 species
UGGCUCUCGCAUCGAUGAAGAACGCAGCGAAAUGCGAUAAGUAAUGUGAAUUGCAGAAUUCAGUGAAUCAUCGAAUCUUUGAACGCACCUUGCGCUCCCUGGUAUUCCGGGGAGCACGCCUGUUCGAGUGUUAUGAAACUAUCAAACAAAGCUGGUUUUAUUACUGGUUUUGGUUGGAUUUGAACUUUGCUGCUAAAUUCUGUUUUAUGAAUGGAGUAGCUGGUUUUAAAAAUAUUAGCUUGGUCAAUCAAGUCUGGUUCUACUUAGCGUAAUAAAUAUUCGUUAAGGACAUUCCUUUUGGGAUGGCCAGAGGCGCGUUGCCUGCUUCUAAUCGUCUUCGGACAAACAUUUAUUCAUAUCUGACCUCGAAUCAGGUGGGACUACCCGCUGA